GUUUUGCGUAGCGUACGCUUGCAUCAAAUCCGAAAGUUGAACAACCCUAAAUUUCUAUAAAUAAAAAGGGCCAGCCGCCCUGCUCUAUACUCCUCAUCCAUGUAAAAACCCGCUCUUCAACUAUAAAAUCCCCACCACCUCUAUAGUCUAUCCCCAUUAUGUGUCGCUUACCCCUACAAACCCUAAUUCCUUCCUUUCCAUCGUUACUGCGCAGCGCCAGUUUUCUUCCCCAUUUUUUUUCUUUACAUUUUGAAGUUCAAGAUAUUGUCGAAUUGACUGAAAAUGAUGAUAAUGAUUGUCGCCCCAGUCUUACAAAGCAUCUCCAAUAGAUGCUUUUAAUGUGGUGAUUGACCUUUUUUAUCUGAUUCCAGAUGUUUCUUAUUUAUUUCAAUUCUUCUUUAAUAUUUGAUUUUACAUAUUAUCAAGGAGAUAUGAUGAUGAAAUUUACCCAUUAUUGUUUUUCCUGAAUCAUUGUUGAUGAAUCACUUUUCAACAUGCACUACCAUCUGAUCUCCCUUGCGUUUUCAUCAAUUUUUUUUUUUUUUUUUUUUGUAUUUUACUUUCGUUAUUUAUUUUGUGUAAUCAAUGAUGAAACUUUAUAAAAUAACCUAAUUCUCCAGUGAUUAUUUUUCAAUGAUAUGCGCACAAUCUAAAAUUCUGAGAUUACACAAAAUCAAAAUAAAUUAUUUUCAUUGCAAUCAAUGAUGAAAAAUUCCGAAAUUAUCCUGAGUAAUUUUCAGUGAUUAAUUCGUUUAAUAUCACCAUCUUUCGGCUGAGAUUGCAUUUUUUUUAUAACUUUGAAAUAAUUUGCCUGAGGUAUCUAUUGCCUAAUCUUGUGGUUUGGCAAAUCGUUUGUAGGGCGGAAAUUGCUAACAGAUUUUGCGACACAGAUUGCUUAAUAUACUUCAUAAGUUUUCUGUUACUUUUUUCUCUGUUUACAUAUCAUUAUAUUUUUGCCAUUUCUCAAAUUAUUAUUUUAGCAUUUUUUUUUCUUUUUUAUGGAGAUUGCUAACCUCGCUUUUUUCUCAUGUGAUUGGAGUGAAAUAGAGAAAGAAAAAACAAGGUAUGAUUGGAUGUUAACGAACACGUAUUUAUGAAAACGCCACUGAGAUUGACAAUUUUGGCAAUCUCAUUGAUGUAAUGAGCAUUUGAUUAAUAAAUAUAAAUCAAGUGAAUUUGAUUAAUAAUCUUUUGGUUUACGGGGCUGAAGUUUGACUCUUUGGCUGUUACAAUGCUUUAUGAGAUGAAUGCAGCACCCAAUAACAAAUACGAAGUUGACCAGUUUGUAAUUUAAUUCUUCUAAUUGUUGGCAAUUAGCAGAAAAUUUAUAGGCUGGAACAUUUUAUCUCAAAUUCUCACCAGUUUUUGAUAAUUAUCUAAUACUACAUACUCUAUUUGAGAGUUCCAGAGGAUUUCAAAUUCAUCAUUUCAAAAUUCACUAUAUUGUUUGGAAAAAAAGUGAAAUUAUAACAUAGAAUUUGGAGAAUUAACUAUAGAGAGUGGAUGUAGAUGGUUAACAAUUUUGAGCUUUAGUGGGAAUUUUAAUGGUGGCUGUUGUUAGAAGGUGGAAAGACUGAUGGGAAGAUGAAAAGAAAAUAUAAAUGUGGAUAUUUUCGGAGCACCAACAAAGUUAUACGAAUUUUAAAUACUAUAUGAUUGUAGUGAAUUUAAAAUUUUAACUUAUUUCUAAAAUGUGUGGAUUUGAGCCAAAUUCAAAUGCAAAUACUUAGGAUAUCCAAACUACUCAUUUAGCUCAAUUUCAUCAUUUGAAAUGAAAUGUUAGAACCCAAAUAGAGCAUUAAUGAAUUUGGUCCUUGUAUUAAAUUUAGGGGUUGUUUGGUUCAAGGUAUAGAAUGAAAAGGAAAUGAAAACAAAUAAAGAAGGGAAAUGGUAAUGAAAAUGAUUACAUUUAUUGGGUGUUUGGUUCAAGCCAUGGAAUGGAAACGAAAUGGCAACCAUUACCACCAAUUAAUGGAUUUUGUUACUUGAGGGAGAGGGGAGGUAACAAAUUGGGGGUAUUAUCACCAAGUAAUGGUAAUAAAUUGGUAAGGGGUUGAACCAAAUAUGAAGAAAGGGAACCAGGAUUUAAUUUUGUUUCUUGGACCUUAAAAUAGUGAACCAAACGAGUUCUUAGUAAUGAAUGAACUAUUACCGAAACGGUAAUCAUAUUACCAAAUAAUAAGGCUGUUCAGUGAGCUAUAGUAAGUAACAAGGCAAUUGAUACUUGAUUUGAUGGUGAAGAUUAACAUGAGUAUGGCUUUGUAUGUAAUCAUGUGCUUAAUUUUAGAAUCACUAUGGACUCUUAAGGGUUGUUUGGUUCAAUAUAUGAAAUGGAAAGGGAAUGUAUACAAAUAAAUGAGGAGAAUGAUAACAAAAAUGGUUACCUUAAUUGAGUGUUUGGUUCAAGCCAAGUAAUGGAGAUGAAGGGUAACCAUUACCUUUAAGUAAUGGAUUUUGUUACUUGAGGAGAAAGGGAAGGUAGCAAAUUAGGAGAAUCUAUUAACAUCAAGUAAUGGUAAGAGAUUGAUGUGGGGUUGAACCAAACAAUUAGAAAGGGAUUUGGUAAUUGAUUUUGUUUCUUGAAACCCAAAAAUAAUGAUACAAACGACCCCUUAGUGCAUGUUUGUUUCAACUCAUAAAAUAAAACGGGAAUUGAAUUUAAUAGAGAUGAGGAAUCGUAAUUGUAAUUGUUAUUUUUUUUGAGUGUUUGGUUAUACAAUGGAACGGAAACACUUAUGAAUGCCAAAAAUUAAUGUAAUAGUGUGGAGAACGCCUAAAAUAAACACUUUCCUUAUUUUCAAUAGAGUGGAGAAUGCCAAAAAUAUAAUACAUAUGUUGCAAAAAUUAAUGGAGGCAAAAAAGUAGAAAUUUCAACUUUGAGAGGAAAUCAAAAUUAGGAUAAUGAAAAUCACUAUUAAUUUUAUACUUCCUCCAUUUUGUUUUAAAUAAAUGUUUCCUUUUUCAUGCAAUGCAACAUACUUUUUAAAUAUUUAAUAUCUUUAGUUGUGCACACGUAAACAUAUAUAAAAGUUAUAAUUUAAUAGUAUGUAUUGAGAUGAAUCUAACAAGAUCUCAUUUGACUAUAUUUUUCUUUAUAUAAUGAUGUAACUUUGAGUCAAAAUUGAUCAAUGAAUAAUGUUAUUUCACCCCGUGCUUAAUUUAAAAUAGAACGGAGGAAAUAUCAUAAUUGCAUCAAUCAAAAUCAAAAUUAGUAAUCAUGAGAUGAUGAUGUUAUGGUUGACAUUUGCAAAUUAGUAAUCAUGAGUUGUGUACUUGUGUAUGGUAGAAGAGAAGAGCUUGGGCUAUUGAAUAUUAUGAGGCUUUAGAGAAAAUAUGCAUCACUCGAAAUUAAUGUAAUCUGCUAUUCCAAACAAAGGUAACAAAUUAGGAGAUUCAAUUAUCCUUAAAUUACAGUAAUUGAAUUAGAAAAGAAUUCGAAGAGAAAGAGCCGAUCCCCGAGGGCUAGGUUCAAGGGAGUUUACUUGCUCGACCAAAGGGAGAGGUAUUUAAUUGCGUUGCUCGACUCCUCAUUGUUUCUCAGGAAGAAUUUUGACCAGGAUCUAGUGACAAGAAAGGAAUUAAACAUACAAGUUCCUCAGUGAUAAGUUGGGUGCUUUAAGCAAGCACUCAACCAUGAAUCUCACAUCGGGUUUUGAGAUAUGGGCAAAGGAAUGCUCCUUAGCUAUUUCAACUCAAAAAAGAGCUAUGAGAGAUGCAGCAAAACAACUUGUUAGUUGGAGAAUAUUACUGCAAACUGAAGUUUAUGUGGGAUUAGAAUGAAGAAUGGGAAGAGAUGGAAAGAAAUAUAGCUUCACUCCUACCAACACAUGAAGAACACAAUUGCUUAUGUGAUAUUGUUUCUAAGCUAAAAAAAGGGCAACCAAACAUGAUCUUGGUGUUUAUGAGCAUGGUUUUGUUUAAUAAUUAGUUGUUAGCUUAAUCUGUCAUGUUUCUAGUCAUUAUCAAGAUUAUUUGAUGACAAGAAAGCACUACAUCUUUAUAAAACAAGAUUGUUCACCACUCCUAUGAGUCACUUUAUUUAUGCAGUAUUUCAUGCACAACUCUUAUGAAGAUAGCCCACACAAGAAAGGAGUGUCCUAUCAAGCUUGGACCAGUGAUAUUUCCUCUAUUUGUCUAGAUCUGUGCAUGACUUUUCUAAGGCAUAUUUUUAAACGCCUUCAUAACUCUAUCGCCAUAGGUUGUGUCACUUGAGAGCUUUGAUACAUCUUUCUUCGGCAGGUGAUUUCGUUGGGUUCUUAAUUUUGGAUGUAUUAGCGGGUUUGAUUAGUUGAGUAUAGAAGUGUUCUACGGGUCGGACUCGGGUUGACCUUACUUUGUCGGGUCGGACUCGGGCCACAUACAUAAGAUACAUGGGUUGGGCUGGAUUAGCCUAGCUCGACCAAUUGGACAACUUAUUAUUUUUGCUGUGUUUUAAAAUGGAGAUAUAAUGUCAAAAUUGAACACAUAUUCAAUCUAAUAGUUUCCACAAACUCGACUUUUUUCCUCUUCAAUUUUUCCAUAAAAAGCAUUUGUAAGUUGGUGAAGAAUAAGUUACUGAUACUUCUCUCGAAGAAAGAAGAAAGAAAAGAAAAGAGUUUGAUGUGUCAAACUUGUCUGAAAAGCAUUUCAUUUUAUAAAAAAAGCAAACCUAUUUUCUCUCUCCUCACUAGUGGAAAAAACCUUAUAUGUUACUUAGUAGCAUAUUCGGUUUUAACAAAACCGUAUCGGAAAAUCAACAUAAAAAUGGGAUGGAAAGCUGCGAGGACAAUAUGAUGCGGUCCUUUUGUUGACCGCAUCAUAUUUUAGAAACUGAUGCGGUUUUCUAUUAACCGACACGGUUCAUAUGACUGCAUCAGUUAAUCACCUUUUUUUCUCCAAACAAAAUCGGAUAACAAGGCCCAAAACGCGGGUCUUUAAUGGUUUUGAAAGAAUUCUGUUUCAUUGGUAAUAUAGAUUGUUGAGUGGGCCAAAAUGAUAAGGCCCUUCCCUCACUUCACUCAUCUGAAUUCGCCCCUCUCACUUUCUUCCCCUAAAUUCAUCGAGAUAUGUCUUUCUCUCUCCUAUAAUUUCCAAUCUUCUUUUACCUAAUUCAACCUUCUUUAUUUAUCUUUUCAUUUUCAAAAUUUGUUCUCAAAGAAUUGAAUUUCGAUGAGAAAUCGCCAGAAAAAAGCGAAAAUCUAGGGAUAUGAUUUCGCAUUUGGUUUUUUGUUGUUGUUGUUUCGAUUGUGGAGGUUUGAUUGAAGUUGAAGAUUGAAAAAGAAGAUUGUGGUGGAGCGAAGUGGUCGGAAUUUUCGCAGACACAACACGAAACCCCAUCUUUCGGAUUUUCGCAGAUCCAUCUUCUCCAUUAAUGCCGGUGUUUUCUUCUACACACGGUGUUGGUCACUUUCUCUAUUAGUCUCUCAUUCUUUCUUGAUUUUUGUGUUUUUUUUUGUCAUUUGUAAUUGCAAUUGCUAAAUUGUAGAAUGGAAAAUUAGGGUUAUUUGGAAUUUUUGGUAUUAAGUUCAAAUUCUGUUAAUUAUGAGUUAAAAAGAAUGAUAAUUGAGAAUUUGGAUAUGUUGGGUUGUUGAAUUUGAGCAUAUUCAUUUCAUUUUUGUUGGGUUGUAUGAAGAUUGCUGUAAUUUUACUAAUAUUAAUUGAUUUUUAAAUUAAGGGUCUUUUUUCUUGCUUUGUUGCAAUUUGUAUUGUUAAUGAUGUGUUUCGGAUGGUUUCAAUUAUGUAUAUAGGCAUUAGUAUAUUUACAUUGACGAAUCAUGAGAGCUCUUGUGUACUUUCCUUUUGGUUGAUAACUUUCUAGUUAAGCACUUCCUAAGUAAAACAAAUUUGAGCUACAUAUGCUAGCUCUAGUUCAUUGUAUGGAUUAUUCUUGUAGAUUUCAUCAUCUGAACUCCUCUUGUUCUUGUUAGCCAAUUUAUGCACUAUUCUUUGGGGGUAUUGAUCUUGGCUCUACUUGAAUUGAUCUAUAGUGAUUAUGAAAUUCAAAGUCAGUUAGUAAACAGAGCAACCUGCUGAUGAAAACAUAUCUUGCAGCAUGAUUCACAAAGUCAUGAGGAGUCUACAAGAAGCAAGGAAAAAGAAAGGGAAAAAGACAGAGACAAAGAAGGGAAGAAGGACAGAGACAUAGAUAAAGACUGAGAAAAGAGUAGGGACAGAGAUAGAGACAAAGAAAGGAGUAGGGACAGGGAUAUGGAUAGGGAUAGAGAGUAUGAUCGCCAUAUAGCGCCCGACAUAGAGAAAGGAGUGAGAGAAGGCAGCGAAGCAGAGGCGUGGAAGAUGAUGAUUAUUACCAUAGUAGCCGAGAUUAUGACAGGUUCACGCUCUUGUUCAAGGUCAAGAUCGCGAUCACGUUCUCGUUCUAAGAGGUUAUCAACGACAAGUUUGGCAUUGUUAAGGGUCUUAUUGUCAGACUUGAGAAGGGUGCUAGCUAUAAUGACAAUAAUGACAAUAAGGCUGCCAUUAUUGCCAUCUUAUCUCAUUUGUUGUGCAAUAUGAUGCCUAGUGGCCUACUAUGUAUGCUGAUGGUUAUUUUGGAUCGUCUGAAUUUAUGAAUUUAAUUUUUCAUCUUUUUUUUGUGGUUAUUAGGCGGAAUCAGAAGCAAACUUUAUAUUGGCAACUAUGGCAUUUAAACAAGGAGUAACUUAUUGUUAAUAUUGAAGUUAUACAAUUCCAUCUCACAUAGUAUGGCUAUGUUGCACAUUUAUAUGCACUAGUUUAUUCUAUUUGCCCAAUAUAAAGAUGUGCAACAUCAUACAGGGUAAUUAGUUGACACUCCGAUCAUCUUACAAUUCUGAACUCUAUAUGCGCGACAGUGGUAGC